rnacentral:rRNA from 1 species
CCUACGGGUGGCAGCAGUAGGGAAUAUUGCUCAAUGGGGGAAACCCUGAAGCAGCAACGCCGCGUGAAGGAAGAAGUAUUUCGGUAUGUAAACUUCUAUCAGCAGGGAAGAAAAUGACGGUACGUGACUAAGAAGCCCCGGCUAACUACGUGCCAGCAGCCGCGGUAAUACGUAGGGGGCAAGCGUUAUCCGGAUUUACUGGGUGUAAAGGGAGCGUAGGCGGUUUAGCAAGUCAGAAGUGAAAGCCCGGGGCUCAACUCCGGGACUGCUUUUGAAACUGUUGAACUAGAUUGCAGGAGAGGUAAGUGGAAUUCCUAGUGUAGCGGUGAAAUGCGUAGAUAUUGCGCAGAACUCCGAUUGCGAAGGCAGCAUACCGGCGGCGAUCUGACGCUGAGGCACGAAAGCGUGGGUAUCGAACAGGAUUAGAUACCCCAGUAGUC